AGCUAGAAUAUGUUUCCUAAAGUACCGUCGUUGUCGAUUGUAUAUGUUUGUUUACUCUUCAGUGUGCUUCACAAAUUUAGAGACUCCGAUGACCGGGGCGUGACUGGCGCCCAAAAGAUAGUGAGAUAGAUAGAGAGAGUGAGGUUUCUCAAAGAUCUCAAAAUACUGACACGGUCACUUGUUGCAUUGAAUAAACGAACGCACGCGGAGUUUGAACAAUAUUAAAGUUCA